rnacentral:rRNA from 1 species
GGCGGCGUGCCUAAUACAUGCAAGUCGAACGAGUUCUGAUUAUUGAAAGGUGCUUGCAUCUUGAUUUAAUUUUGAACGAGUGGCGGACGGGUGAGUAACACGUGGGUAACCUGCCCUUAAGUGGGGGAUAACAUUUGGAAACAGAUGCUAAUACCGCAUAAAUCCAAGAACCGCAUGGUUCUUGGCUGAAAGAUGGCGUAAGCUAUCGCUUUUGGAUGGACCCGCGGCGUAUUAGCUAGUUGGUGAGGUAACGGCUCACCAAGGCAAUGAUACGUAGCCGAACUGAGAGGUUGAUCGGCCACAUUGGGACUGAGACACGGCCCAAACUCCUACGGGAGGCAGCAGUAGGGAAUCUUCCACAAUGGACGCAAGUCUGAUGGAGCAACGCCGCGUGAGUGAAGAAGGCUUUCGGGUCGUAAAACUCUGUUGUUGGAGAAGAAUGGUCGGCAGAGUAACUGUUGUCGGCGUGACGGUAUCCAACCAGAAAGCCACGGCUAACUACGUGCCAGCAGCCGCGGUAAUACGUAGGUGGCAAGCGUUAUCCGGAUUUAUUGGGCGUAAAGCGAGCGCAGGCGGUUUUUUAAGUCUGAUGUGAAAGCCCUCGGCUUAACCGAGGAAGUGCAUCGGAAACUGGGAAACUUGAGUGCAGAAGAGGACAGUGGAACUCCAUGUGUAGCGGUGAAAUGCGUAGAUAUAUGGAAGAACACCAGUGGCGAAGGCGGCUGUCUGGUCUGUAACUGACGCUGAGGCUCGAAAGCAUGGGUAGCGAACAGGAUUAGAUACCCUGGUAGUCCAUGCCGUAAACGAUGAAUGCUAGGUGUUGGAGGGUUUCCGCCCUUCAGUGCCGCAGCUAACGCAUUAAGCAUUCCGCCUGGGGAGUACGACCGCAAGGUUGAAACUCAAAGGAAUUGACGGGGGCCCGCACAAGCGGUGGAGCAUGUGGUUUAAUUCGAAGCAACGCGAAGAACCUUACCAGGUCUUGACAUCUUUUGAUCACCUGAGAGAUCAGGUUUCCCCUUCGGGGGCAAAAUGACAGGUGGUGCAUGGUUGUCGUCAGCUCGUGUCGUGAGAUGUUGGGUUAAGUCCCGCAACGAGCGCAACCCUUAUGACUAGUUGCCAGCAUUUAGUUGGGCACUCUAGUAAGACUGCCGGUGACAAACCGGAGGAAGGUGGGGAUGACGUCAAAUCAUCAUGCCCCUUAUGACCUGGGCUACACACGUGCUACAAUGGAUGGUACAACGAGUUGCGAGACCGCGAGGUCAAGCUAAUCUCUUAAAGCCAUUCUCAGUUCGGACUGUAGGCUGCAACUCGCCUACACGAAGUCGGAAUCGCUAGUAAUCGCGGAUCAGCACGCCGCGGUGAAUACGUUCCCGGGCCUUGUACACACCGCCCGUCACACCAUGAGAGUUUGUAACACCCGAAGCCGGUGGCGUAACCCUUUUAGGGAGCGAGCCGUCUAAGGUGGGACAAAUGAUUAGGGUG